rnacentral:rRNA from 1 species
UACAGAGGUCCCAAGCGUUGUUCGGAUUCACUGGGCGUAAAGGGUGCGUAGGCGGUCGGGUAAGUCUGAUGUGAAAUCUCACAGCUUAACUGUGAAACUGCAUUGGAUACUAUCCGGCUAGAGGAAUGGAGGGGAGACUGGAAUACUUGGUGUAGCAGUGAAAUGCGUAGAUAUCAAGUGGAACACCAGCGGCGAAGGCGAGUCUCUGGACAUUUCCUGACGCUGAGGCACGAAAGCCAGGGGAGCAAACGGG